CAGCCGCCACGGUAACACGGAGGAUCCGAGCGUUAUCCGGAAUUAUUGGGUUUAAAGGGUGCGUAGGCGGAUAGAUAAGUCAGUGGUGAAAGACGGUGGCUCAACCAUCGCAGUGCCGUUGAUACUGUUUAUCUUGAAUAUGGAUGAGGUAGGCGGAAUGUGGCAAGUAGCGGUGAAAUGCAUAGAUAUGCCACAGAACACCGAUUGCGAAGGCAGCUUACCAAGGCAAAAUUGACGCUGAGGCACGAAAGCGUGGGGAUCGAACAGGAUUAGAGACCCCUGUAGUCCCUGUCUCUUAUAC
rnacentral:rRNA from 1 species